rnacentral:rRNA from 1 species
UUUAUUGAGAGUUUGAUCUUGGCUCAGGACGAACGCUGGCGGCGUGCCUAAUACAUGCAAGUCGAGCGCGGGAAGCUUGUCUGAUCCCUUCGGGGUGACGCGAGUGGAACGAGCGG